rnacentral:snoRNA from 1 species
UGAACUGUUGAUGACUGCGUGUCAUGAACUAAGGAUUAUGACUAAUCCAAUUCUAUAUAAUCAAGUGCAAA